rnacentral:ncRNA from 2 species
UUUUCGCACUCUGGAGAGCGGCAGUAGCGCCCGUGCAGAAUGCGCGCGCAAGCUGCCCACCGAAGGGGCGCGCGCCACGCCAGCCAGCACUCGCUGACGGCAGCGCAAUCUCUCAGGUAUCGAGGACAGAGGGGGCAUG